CGGACGGGUGAGUAAUGUCUGGGAAACUGCCUGAUGGAGGGGGAUAACUACUGGAAACGGUAGCUAAUACCGCAUAACGUCGCAAGACCAAAGUGGGGGACCUUCGGGCCUCAUGCCAUCAGAUGUGCCCAGAUGGGAUUAGCUAGUAGGUGGGGUAACGGCUCACCUAGGCGACGAUCCCUAGCUGGUCUGAGAGGAUGACCAGCCACACUGGAACUGAGACACGGUCCAGACUCCUACGGGAGGCAGCAGUGGGGAAUAUUGCACAAUGGGCGCAAGCCUGAUGCAGCCAUGCCGCGUGUGUGAAGAAGGCCUUCGGGUUGUAAAGCACUUUCAGCGGGGAGGAAGGCGGUGAGGUUAAUAACCUUGUCGAUUGACGUUACCCGCAGAAGAAGCACCGGCUAACUCCGUGCCAGCAGCCGCGGUAAUACGGAGGGUGCAAGCGUU
rnacentral:rRNA from 1 species